ACACAUGAUAAAGGUGGUUAUUUGUGUACACAUUAUGUUGAUUUUUAAAUAACUUUUUUCUGUGACUCAUUUCAAAUAACUAAUCAAUCAUAUUUUACUUGUGUGUCCUCAGUUAUCCGUUACCAAAUCAGCGAGUGUUGGGAUUCUAUAAGGAUCCUUAUCUCUCUGAACGCACAUCAGAUCUUCCAGAUGUUGUUGUGGACGGAGUUCUGCAGGGUCUUUAUCCUCGGGACGUCCGAGUCAGCUUCACCGCCCCCGUCCUCACGGAGCCCGACCCCAGCGCUUCUUUAGACGCCUGAAACUAUAGCUAAAUGUUAGGUUUAAUGUUUAUGACAAUACAGUUAAAUACACAAACUAGCAAGAAGGACAACUAAAAAGCCAUUGGUGCAUGAUACAGGGGGAAUGGGUCACAUGGAGGAUCGUUUUUCCGAAAUCAGCGGCUCCAGUGGGAUUUAAACCCAAAACUCAGGCUUUGUAUUUCCGUUACGUUAUCUGUGGUAUUGUUCAACCUUUUCUUAGCCUUUUUAAUAUCACUAAAGUGAAGCCAAAUCCCAACAUUCAUCCUGAAAAUGAGUCACUAAGUAUGUUUUUAUUCCGUUUAAUAAGCACACAAAUGUAUUUUUAUGAAGAUGUGGAAGUGAAAGGAGGCCACAGGCAAACGUGUAUUUUAUUCUUUCAAGCCAUACUGUAGCCUAGUUUAAUUUAGUUCAAAUUUAGAAUAGAGGAGCAUGAGGAAGUGUAGAAAAUUACUUGAAAUCCAGGCGUGAGAUAGAGGUAUUUUUUACAUGUUGUUUUGUCACAGUUGAUACUUGAGUAUAGAAGUUCCUAACAUUCAUGUACUUUUUGUAGUAACUUGAAUUUGUUGAACCUAGUUUUAUUUUCUAGUGUUAGGUCAAUCACAAGGAGCCUUUGAUACUGAAGCAAUGUUUUAGUGUCAACAAAUGUUUGGGAGUUAUUUCUACUUUUGUAUGAGGUUGUUUGGAUUGACAUUAUAAUAAAAAAUCCGACACGUCUCA